AGGAGGUAUUGUACAGUUGCAAACAGCAUCAGUGGAGACUGUCCAGACUGGUUCAGUUCACUCAAAAUAAGUCAAAGGAAGAUGGGAGCCAGCCUGCCUAACCUAUAAGAGGCAAGAAAGAGAAAGUAUUUACGGAAGCAAAUGGCAGGUACCAUCCAGAUGGGAGAUGAGGAUUAAACCUCCAGGAUACUGAUAUCUAAGGACAACAUUAUUUCUGGCAUUUUGGAGUUACUUGGCUGAAGGAUGAAUUCGGGAUACUCUUUCCACAAUGUUGACAUAUGCCAGAAGAGACAUAACAUUUUGUAAAUCCCGCAGUCUGUUGCAUUAACAUGGGAAAACAACACAUUUUAUAGGGAACAGGCC